rnacentral:lncRNA from 1 species
UUGAAUUUAUUACUUCAUACCUGAGUUUUUUGAAUCAAAACCUCCUAGCUUGGACCCUUUGUAAGUCUCUUUCGUGCUUUUUAUGCGGACUAACGUUCAUGAGGACCAAGUCAUCCUGAAGACCCGCUCGAAUUGGUCAGGAUAAGGACGUUGCUGGCGGAAGAAUAGCUCUUGUAACGGUCAACAUUGAAGAAAGGCGUAUUUUAUGGGAGUUAUGGAUGAUUGGUCAAUGCUAUUAAUGUUGUAACGGUUAUAGGAGCUUAAAUCCCGGAGUUAUAGUUGGUAUGCGCGUGGAAAACGAGUUGAAACAGCCCCCCAACGUUCAGAAAGGAAAUAAUCUCAGUAUCCCGGAUUUUUAGCAUAAUAUCCCGGAUUUUUAGCAUAAUUAGUUGAUUCUUGUAACUAUAUAAAGGAGAUGCCAGAUCCAUAGGACACACAUUUUCGAGUUCUCUAACUCUCACACUCUUCUUUCCAGCAACAAUCACACAUUAACACUCAUCACUUGCAAUCAUUGUAACACUUAGUAGCGAUCUGAGCAUUAUCCUGCACUGUAUCCUGGUUAUUCAAGCAAUAAGAAGAACAAGG